rnacentral:rRNA from 1 species
AACGAACGCUGGCGGCAGGCUUAACACAUGCAAGUCGAGCGGGCCCGCAAGGGUCAGCGGCGGACGGGUUAGUAACGCGUGGGAACGUGCCCUUUGCUCUGGAAUAGCCCUGGGAAACUGGGGGUAAUACCGGAUGUGCCCUGAGGGGGAAAGAGUUAUCGGCAAGGGAUCGGCCCGCGUCUGAUUAGGUAGUUGGUGGGGUAACGGCCCACCAAGCCGACGAUCGGUAGCUGGUUUGAGAGGAUGAUCAGCAACACUGGGACUGAGACACGGCCCAGACUCCUACGGGAGGCAGCAGUGGGGAAUCUUAGACAAUGGGCGCAAGCCUGAUCUAGCCAUGCCGCGUGGGUGAUGAA